rnacentral:misc_RNA from 1 species
ACUUAUAUGGUACAAAAAAAAGGCCUUAUACAGAACAUUGUGUUAAAACAGACAUCACAACGUAAUUCGUCAUUCAAAAUCCUUUAAUUUGAUGGGUCAUACAUUGAUUUCUGAUUAUCCGUUCCAAAGAUACAAAUAUUUGUACAAAAUUAUGAAAAAUCGAAUAAUUUGAAAUAUUUACAAAAAUAUUUUAAGUUGUUUGUUAACAUGCCGGGUGUGUAUGGUUGAUAAGAAAAGAGUGCAGACGUUAUUUUUGUUAAUAUUAACCUCCAAAGAUAUGACAAGCCACAAUGCUAAAAGUCCGAAUGUAGUCGGAUGAUAACAUGUAACCGCAGUUGUUAUUUGUGUAAAUGUUAUCACAUAUUUUUAAAACUAUAAGGUCUUGUUUUUGCAAAACACAUUCAAACAUUUGAUCACGUUCAUGCUGUGUGAAUUUCGCCUAUAAAUACUGAAACAGACGAGCAUAUACCACAGUCGACAUCUGACAGUUUCUACAGUAUAGUUGCAGUGUUCAGUGGAAAAUAUUCAAUUAAGAUAUUCCUAGCGUUCAGACGUGUGCUCUGGUGAGUUUUAUAUCGUUCAGAAGUGUGCUCUGUUGAGUGGCAAACUUUGAAUAUUUUUUGAUUUUGUCGAAAACAAUUUUUUUUUGAAAUUUUUAAAACAUAUUUAGUGUUUGGGUUCUAAUUUUUUUGAAUUCUAAGUUUUGAAUAUUUAUUAUUAUGUUAUUACUUAGUGUUGUUUGAUUUGGUCAGUUUUUUUUAAUAACGAAAACAUGAACACAUUCUUAGUCACUAAAGAUACAUUUAAGAAAAUUCGUAUUUCUCAUCCUUUAAUAACGAAAACAUGAACAAAUUCUUAGUCACUAAAGAUACAUUUAAGAAAAUUCGUAAAUUUGGCCUCCAGGGACGAACUCUGGAAUUUAAAAUCAGGGAUGUGCCGCAGAGUGAGGAACCUGUGGGAUGGGUAAAAAAGGCCAUCGAGGGGAUUGUACUUAAGGGAACAGAAGGUUUGGAACCAACCGAUCAGGUCGGUUUCACUUUUUGCUCGAAAGACUUUGCCAGAGGUCAGGGUUGGAUGAGGUUCAAGCCUGCCUGUGAAGUGACCGUUGAUGAUAUAUGGAAUAAGAUUAGUUCCAUAUAUCAGAGUAAUAGCACCGGCCUCAAUACCGAAACAUUUUGUUUGGGUAUUACGACGGUAAAACUGCCCGCGGGAAAAGGUGGUCCGAGAGGAAGAGCUUAUAACUCCUUUAACGAGGAGUGUUUGAAAAGGCGAGGAACUGUUGUUAUUAAAAACAAGGAUAAUCUUUGUUUACCUCGUGCUCUUGUGGUUGCAAAAGCUCACGUAGAUAAGGACCAAGAAUGGAAGAAGGUACGUCAAGAUAUUGGAAAAAUACAAGGACAAAGAGCCCAUCAACUGAUUGAAGCCGCUAAUGUAACAAUUCCUGUCGGAGGGGCAGGAAUACCCGAACUACAACAGUUUCAGGGACACCUCACAGAUUACAAAAUUGUGGUGUAUAGUUAUGGUAGCAAGGGUCGUGACGUUAUGUUCUGUGGUAACACUAAUGGUCCAGCGUUAAAUCUUUUGUAUCAUGAAGGACACUUUAACGUGAUCACUUCUUUGACAGCUGCUUUUUGUUGUAUUUAUUAUUGUGAGGAGUGCCACCAGCCGUUUAACAACAAAAACGACCACAGAUGUGGUGGUACAUGUUUUGCUUGUCGUCGUUCACCAGCUUGUUCCAAAGAUUGCGUGAAAAUACCCUGCGAUCAAUGUGGUCGAAACUUCUACGGUAAGGCAUGUUUCAAUGCUCAUGUUGGUUCGGUAUGCGAUAAAAUCAAAAGGUGUAAGACCUGUUACAAGAUCUACACCAAAAGUCAUGUCUGUGGUGAGGUCUUCUGUAAAACUUGUAAGAAAAAUUGUUUGUCAGAUCAUCUUUGUUACAUACAGCCCGAUUCUGGUCUUCCUCCAUCAAGCGAUUUUCUAUUUAUAUUUUAUGAUUUGGAAACUAGUCAGGAAAAGAUAUUGGCUGAUGGUUCGCUUCUUCAAGAACCAAUUCUCUGUGUAUUUAAUCAACGUUGUUACAAAUGUCUCCCUGAGAUGAAAUUAGUUUUCUGUCAAUCUUGUGGAUUUCGCCAAAAGAUUUUGAGGGGUCUUGACGUAAUAAGUCUUUUUAUGAAUCAUAUUUUGCAAAUUAGAAAAAAAUUCAAGAAUGUUGUCGUGUUAGCUCACAAUGGAGGAGGCUUCGACCAUCAAUUUAUUUUAAAUUAUAUUUUAACAAAGACUGAUUUAACCCCUGAUCUCAUUAUGCGUGGUACAAAGUUGGUGUCAAUGGCUGUUGGUAACGCUCGUUUUCUCGAUAGUCUUAAUUACUUUCCAAUGGCGUUGUCUGCUCUACCUAAAGCUUUUGGGUUGACAGAGUUGAAAAAGGGAUAUUUUCCACAUCUGUUUAACAGAGAGGAAAAUCAAUCUUAUGUUGGACCUAUGCCUGAUCUAAAAUUUUACGAUCCCGAUAAUUUAAAAGAUGAUGCACGUGACAAGCUGAUCGCGUGGCACGCUGAAAGAGUAGAUGAGGGAUACGUUUUUGAUUUUCAAAAGGAAAUUGUUGAAUAUUGUAUUAGCGAUGUUGAGAUUUUGACUAAGGCUUGUCUCACUUUCAGAAAACAGUUGAUGGAUACUUCAAAUGUCUGUCCGUUUUUCGAGGCAACAACUGUUGCAUCGACGUGUAACAAGGUAUUCAGGCGUAAUUUCUUACAACCAAACACAAUAGCCCUUAUUCCAAAAGGUGGCUAUCGUUUUAAAGAUAAUCAGUCGAAAAUAGCUUUGCAGUGGUUAUUGUGGGAAGAGAAGCAACGCUGUAUUAAAAUUCAGCAUGCCGCCAGGGGACCUGAAGCUCUUAUUGGAAAUUGUAGGGUGGACGGUCUUUACGAAAACACCAUCUUUGAUUUUCAAGGUUGUUAUUACCACGGUUGUCCUACUUGUUACCCUACAGAUAGAACUGCACCCCUUCAUGACGAUCCUUCAGAUUGUAUGGAAAAUCGUCAUGAUAAAACAAUUGCUAAAGUUAAGCAUCUCAGAUCAAUAGGAUAUGAGGUGGUUGAAAUGUGGGAAUGUCAAUUCCGUAAAAUGCUGACGGCCGAGAUAAAGGCGUAUACCGAGGGGCAUCCUCUUAUGGCUAGUUUACCUUUGAAUCCUAGAGAUGCUUUAUAUGGUGGUCGUACAGGCAAUACUGUAGAGUAUUACAAGUGUAAAGAUGGUGAAAAAAUUAAAUACGUUGAUGUUUGUUCGCUUUAUCCGUGGGUAUGCAAGUACGGAAAGUUCCCAAUCGGACAUCCAAAGAAAAUAUAUAUUGGACAGGAAUGCACUGCUGUAGACAUUACUGAGUUAUCUGGAUUAAUAAAGUGUAAGGUGCUUCCUCCUACAAACCUCUAUCAUCCUGUUCUUCCUACCAAGAUGAACAGUAAAUGUAUGUUCGUUUUAUGCCGAAAGUGUGGAGAGGACUUUGCGGAAGAAGAGUGUGAGCAUUCGAAUGAUGAACGGGCUCUAUCAGGUACUUGGGUGAUUGAGGAGGUAGUGAAAGCUUUAUCAAAGGGUUAUAAAAUAAUUGAGACCUAUGAGAUAUGGUCCUAUGAUGCUUUACAGUUAUCGAAAUCUCAGAAAGGUCUUUUUUCCGAUAUGAUGAACAAAUUUAUCAAAGUGAAACAACAAGCUUCAGGGUGGCCGCGAGGAUGUGUAUCGGAUGAGGAAAAGAGCCGGUACAUCGAGGAGUUUCUUCAGAGGGAGGAUGUCAGGCUGGAGUUUUCCGACAUAACGGAGAACCCUGGUCUGAGGUCGUUGGCUAAGCUUAUGCUCAAUUCUUUCUGGGGUAAGUUCGCUCAGCGAGAGAACCUCCCUAAAACAUCCAUAAUAAACAAGCCUGGAGAAUUUUUUGCUAUGUUGAUUAAUCCAUCCAUUCAGGUUAAUACGGUGAUCCCUGUAAAUGAGGACACACUGGUUGUUACGUGGGAGUAUGUGGAGGAGGCGUACUCAAUGUCGUCAACAGUUAAUGUUGUUCUGGCAUCAUACGUUACGGCUCUGGCUCGUCUCAAAUUGUACUCUUAUCUGGAGAUUAUUGGGUCUCGGGCAAAAUAUUACGACACAGAUUCGUCUAUUUACCUUUCCAAGGCUGGCUUACCUGAUCUCCCAAUAGGUGAGUGUAUAGGUGACUUAACUGAUGAGUUGGGUGGGGGGUAUAUUUCAGAGUUCGUUUCUGGAGGGCCUAAAAAUUACGCAUAUAAAUACACUUUGCCUAACGGUGAAGAAAAAAUUUGUUGUAAGGUUAAAGGUAUUUGUCUAAAUUAUGAGGCAUCUAAAUUAGUUAAUUUCGAUACCAUUAAGAAGAUGGUACUUAUGAAGUCUGACCCUGUUUCUGUGGUGACUAAACAAAUACAAAGGACACAGGAUCAUUGUGUUAUCACAAAAACCCUUGAAAAAAAAUAUAGACCAAACUCAGCAAAAAGAAAAUUUUUUGAAGAUUUUACAUCCGUACCUUAUGGUUAUAAAAAACUUAAAAUUUAAACUAUAGCCCAGACUCAGCUUUUUUAUUUUUUUAACACUAUACCUGUUUAACACUCACAAUCAACAUUUUUAAUUAGUAAGUUAUAUAUUAAUAGAUUACUUUUUGUUUUGUCAACAGUGGAUGCUUUUUCCUCUGCGAUACAACCGAUCGUCUGUCACACUGAAAAGUGGGUUACUAAAAAGUUGUAGUGAGUUGUCGUUUGUCCUACAUGAUUAAACAUCUUUAAAAGAUGUUCAGUUAAGACCAUUAAAAGAUAUCUGAUAUAUAGCCCACUGGCAAAUUAAUGAGCCGUUCUGGUUACGUCCGUUGCUCGUGUAGCCGCUCAUUAUAAAAGAUGGCAAUCAGAUCAUAAAAAGAUGUCUGCUGAACCAUUUCCUGUAUGUUUAAAAAAGAUGUUCAGUUAAGGUCACUAAAAGAUAUUCGUUAUAAAAAUGUACUAUAAAUAAUGUUAAUAAAAAGAUACCUGCUGAACCAUUUCCGGUAUUUUAAAAUACAAUAAACAGUUUUCGGCUAUGAACCACUUUGUGAUUUUGUAACAUCAUUACAGCUUUGCUCGUUACUUACUAGAAGGUGGGGCAACAAUCGCUUGUUCUAUGCUAUCACAAAUAUAUAUAUAUAUAUUGAAUCACAUUUGAUUCCUCUGAGGAAAUUUGGUGGUUGUAGGCCUCUAGGGGAUGGUGUCCACGAUAAAACACCAACGAGGUAUGUGUUGUACCUCAUGGGUGCCUUGGAAAUCAACACGAGUAACCUUUGUUUCAGAUUAUCCUUGAAAAAAAAAAUCAGCACGAGCUAUGUUAGCUUUAACGUGACGACCUUUACGACGUGCUUUUUCUUUACGACAAUACUGUUAGAUAUGUCUUUAUACAUUAACAAAAGUUUUUUUCUACCUAGGUAUACUCUAAGUGUAUAUAAUUUUUUUCUCAAUAUAUCUGAUACAUAAUACCUUUAAAUAUGGUCCUCCUUUUGGAGUAUAAAAAGGACGGUCGACUUUUAACCCGCACGGAUGCACGCCUAUGUACCUUUACGAAGGGAAUUGUACAUAAACCUAUAAGCUGAUCGUAAUCCAUAUCUGCAAAGUAUGUUGUCAGCUUGGGUUAGUAUAUACAGUGCAUUCCGUAUGUUUUAUAAACAUGAUCAGGGGAAAUUGUUGCCUGAUGGCUAUUAAAGAACCGUCUAUGGCCCUCAUAUAUUCUUAUCGCAGAUGUUUAAUAUCAAACUGUAAAAUUAAUACUACCCACUUGCCGUAGAUAAAAUAUUGUAUGCAACUAUUCAGUAAAUUACAUAAAAAAAAAUAAUACACAUUUUUCUGAAAAGACUUGUACAUGAGAUGUUUGCUGGUUUGGUCACAGCGUAAGAAUGGUAUAUGUUCAUUGUAGGAAUGUAUGCUUGGAGGGAGAUCGAGGAUGUUUGUUGGUCAUACUGUAAGAAUGGUAUAUGUUCAUUGUAGGAAUGUAUGAUUGGAGGGAGAUCGAGGAUGUUUGUUGGUCAUACUGUAAGAAUGGUAUAUGUUCAUUGUAGGAAUGUAUGAUUGAAACGAAGAUACGAUAUAGUGCCGUUUUGGCAAUGUCUUAUUCACGUCACGUCAUUCACGUUACGUCAUUCACGGUAAAAUAUCACGUUAAAGAGGUACACUGUUAGGAUGGUUUAAAGAUAAAUAGUCUAUACCAUUAGGGAAUAGAGUGUAGCAGAGACCAUUAGAGGCCAUUAGAAACCAUCAGGUCACGUUAUUUACGUCGCGUGAUUCACGUGACGUUAUGCACGUCACGUUCUGUUAGGCACUGUCACGUUCUGUUAGGCACUAUACGGAAAAGAAGAAGAAGAAUUGGCAAUUAAUAUUGAACGUUGACAGAAGAAGAAUUGACAGUUGCCAUCUGUGUCGCCACCGCUUUCAUUUGAUAUCCCAUACGUCAAAAUCGGAUCAUUAGCCAAGAAGAUAUGUUGUAAUGCCGUUUUGGCAAUGUCAAUUAGUUACGUGUUGCAGCCGACAGGUGGCAUGAUAAGAUGAAGAACUGUGAUAGGAUGUUUGAUGGUCGUACUGUAAGAAUGGUAUACGUUCUUCUAGAGGGCUUGGGCAUAGUUACAUGUUGCAGCCGACAGGUGGCAUGAUAAGAUGAAGAACUGUGAUAGGACUAAUAUAUCACCGUUUUGGCAGUGUUGCCAUGUUUCUCCUUCCCUUCGAUGUCUGUUGCGCUAAAAUUAAUAGCAACGAAGAUAUAGUGUCGUUUUGGCAUUGCUGACAUCUUUGUUUUUAUGUUAACAUAUUCAAUAUCCCCUCUUUUUCCCAACGAGACCAUAUUCACACGAAUUGGACCAAUAGACACGAAGAUAUGAUAUAGUGCCGUUUUGUCAUUGCUGACAUCUUUGUUUAUAUGGUAACAUGCCUUCCUCUUUCCAACAAUAUAUGAUCAGUCAGGUCGGAGACAUGCUCUAAUGCUCUUUUGCUAAUGUCUUUGUGAUUGCUCCUCUUUCGUUUAAUGUCUUACAUGUAAUAAACGAACCAAUAACAACGCAGAUGGCAGAUAGGUGCUUCAUGGAUAAGUGUCUUAUUUGGCUUUCUGACUACACCCUGUAUAUUUUGCGAUAAACGAAAUAAAGAGGAGGCCAUCUUGGAAGGCGAGGGUUUGUGACGUAGGUGGGCCUGGCUGUGUUCCCAUUGGUCGGUGCCUGAUCAUUGGUCGGUGAUUGGGGCUAAGUUCUCAUUGGUCGCUGGACUUUGAUCUCAUUGGUCUAUGGGCGAUGCUGUGGGUGGGCGAGGCUUCCUUCUCAUUGGUCGGUGGGCGGGACUAAG